GGAAGGAUCAUUACCGAGUGCGGGCCCUCUGGGUCCAACCUCCCAUCCGUGUCUAUCUGUACCCUGUUGCUUCGGCGUGGCCACGGCCCGCCGGAGACUAACAUUUGAACGCUGUCUGAAGUUUGCAGUCUGAGUUUUUAGUUAAACAAUCGUUAAAACUUUCAACAACGGAUCUCUUGGUUCCGGCAUCGAUGAAGAACGCAGCGAAAUGCGAUAAUUAAUGUGAAUUGCAGAAUUCAGUGAAUCAUCGAGUCUUUGAACGCACAUUGCGCCCCCUGGUAUUCCGGGGGGCAUGCCUGUCCGAGCGUCAUUGCUGCCCUCAAGCACGGCUUGUGUGUUGGGCUUCCGUCCCUGGCAACGGGGACGGGCCCAAAAGGCAGUGGCGGCACCAUGUCUGGUCCUCGAGCGUAUGGGGCUUUGUCACCCGCUCCCGUAGGUCCAGCUGGCAGCUAGCCUCGCAACCAAUCUUUUUAACCAGGUUGACCUCGGAUCAGGUAGGGAUACCCGCUGAACUUAAGCAUAUCAAUAAGGCCGGAGGAA
rnacentral:rRNA from 1 species